AACGAACGCUGGCGGCGUGCCUAACACAUGCAAGUCGAGCGAGAAAGUUCCUUCGGGAGCGAGUAAAGCGGCGCACGGGUGAGUAACACGUAGGUAACCUGCCCCAUAGUCUGGAACAACUAGAGGAAACUCUAGCUAAUGCCGGAUAAGACCACGGUUCCCUCGGGAACUGCGGCCAAAGAUGGCCUCUGUUUACAUGCUAUCGCUGAGGGAUGGGCCUGCGGGCCAUAGCUUGUUGGUGAGGUAACGGCUCACCAAGGCUGUGAUGGCUAGCUGGUCUGAGAGGAUGACCAGCCACACUGGGACUGAGACACGGCCCAGACUCCUACGGGAGCAGCAGUGGGGAAUAUUGCGCAAUGGGCGAAAGCCUGACGCAGCGACGCCGCGUGGGUGA
rnacentral:rRNA from 1 species